CCCUCGCGACGCGUAGGCGCUGGGGACCCACUGGGGACUCGCCGGGGUGCGCUCGGGUGGACCCUCCGCGGGCAGCAUCCCCUCGCCCGGGCCGGCGGCUGCAGGGAGUUCGGGCCCUCGGCCGCUCCACCUCAAGUCUGGGCGCUCACCGGACCAUUCAGCCGCUGCCUAUGGGGAUCCGAGAGUUUCCCGGCGGCGCGCCCAGGGGCAAGAGCAUCGCCAUUGGCAUGAGGAGGUCACCGGACGUCAGCCCCCGGAGACUGUCGGACAUCAGCCCCCAGCUCCGGCAGCUGAAGUACUUGGUGGUGGACGAGGCGAUCAAGGAGGACCUGAAAUGGUCGCGCUCGAUGGAGGACCUCACCAGCGGGCCCAUGGGGCUCACGUCCAUCGAAGAGCGGAUUCUGCGCAUCACUGGCUACUAUGGCUACCAGCCCUGGGCCGCGAGCUACAAAAAAUCUUCAACCUAAACAAUAUUGAUGACCUGAGAAAAACAGGAGGAUAUUGGUUCAAGGGCACCAACUUUGAGUUAUAAG
rnacentral:lncRNA from 1 species